UCUUUUCCGCUUUCACCUUCGCCGAUGAAGCACCUAGAGCAGUUUUGACCCCAGGCCAAGUACUUCCACUUGUGAAAAA
rnacentral:lncRNA from 1 species